rnacentral:rRNA from 1 species
AGUGAACGCUGGCGGUAGGCCUAACACAUGCAAGUCGAACGGCAGCACAGUAAGAGCUUGCUCUUACGGGUGGCGAGUGGCGGACGGGUGAGGAAUACAUCGGAAUCUACUUUUUCGUGGGGGAUAACGUAGGGACACUUACGCUAAUACCGCAUACGACCUACGGGUGAAAGCAGGGGAUCUUCGGACCUUGCGCGAUUGAAUGAGCCGAUGUCGGAUUAGCUAGUUGGCGGGGUAAAGGCCCACCAAGGCGACGAUCCGUAGCUGGUCUGAGAGGAUGAUCAGCCACACUGGAACUGAGACACGGUCCAGACUCCUACGGGAGGCAGCAGUGGGGAAUAUUGGACAAUGGGCGCAAGCCUGACCCAGCCAUACCGCGUGGGUGAAGAAGGCCUUCGGGUUGUAAAGCCCUUUUGUUGGGGAAGAAAAGCAGCAGGUUAAUACCCCGCUGUUCUGACGGUACCCAAAGAAUAAGCACCGGCUAACUUCGUG